GGCGAACGGGUGAGUAACACGUGGGUAAUCUGCCCUGCACUCUGGGAUAAGCCUGGGAAACUGGGUCUAAUACUGGAUAUGACCUUUCUCCUUAUGGGGUUUGGCGGAAAGUUUUCGGUGUAGGAUGAGCCCGCGGCCUAUCAGCUUGUUGGUGGGGUGAUGGCCUACCAAGGCGACGACGGGUAGCCGGCCUGAGAGGGUGAUCGGCCACAUUGGGACUGAGAUACGGCCCAG
rnacentral:rRNA from 1 species